AUUGAACGCUGGCGGCAGGCCUAACACAUGCAAGUCGAGCGGAUGAAGGGAGCUUGCUCCUGGAUUCAGCGGCGGACGGGUGAGUAAUUCCUAGGAAUCUGCCUGUUAGUGGGGGAUAACGUCCGGAAACGGGCGCUAAUACCGCAUACGUCCUGACGGCGAACGUGGGGGAUCUUCGGACCUCACGCUAUCAGAUGAGCCUAGGUCGGAUUAGCUAGUUGGUGGGGUAAAGGCCUACCAAGGCGACGAUCCGUAACUGGUCUGAGAGGAUGAUCAGUCACACUGGAACUGAGACACGGUCCAGACUCCUACGGGAGGCAGCAGUGGGGAAUAUUGGACAAUGGGCGAAAGCCUGAUCCAGCCAUGCCGCGUGUGUGAAGAAGGUCUUCGGAUUGUAAAGCACUUUAAGUUGGGAGGAAGGGCAGUAAGUUAAUACCUCGCUGUUUUGACGUUACCAAAAGAAUAAGCACCGGCUAACUUCGUG
rnacentral:rRNA from 1 species